GAGAAGGGUGAGCGGCUCCACCUGUGCCGCCGGCCUCAGCUCGUCCGGGCAGCGGAGCCGGGCCUCCCGCUCUGGUUCAAAGGCUUGUCGGCUCCUUCACUCUGAUCCGUGAGGCUCUGCUUUGCCCAGAGAUGGGAGGAGACAGAGAGGGAGGCGAAGACAAACUGUUCCCAGGACAAUAAUCCUGGGAAAUAUCAAUAAAGACAGAGAGCGUUUUCCCCACUGUACACACGAGAAAGCUAAUCUUCUUAGAAAUGGCCCCUCAUCGCUCGUCUGUGAUGGAGUGAAGGCUGGGAUCCAGCUCAGCAAAUUGUGCAUGUUCCACCUUGAGAAAAUCUGGGAUCUGACCCUUCCCGUUACAGAAUGAAAGCCACGAGGGUAGGAGCUCUGUUUCUGCACCUCGCAUGUCCCCGGUACUUGGAACAGAGCUGGGGCUCCACACACAUCUGCCGAACCACGGGGUAUUAGCGGAGCCCUCUCUCCUCCAAACCAAGUCACUUUCCUUGAAGCCUCAGCACACCCAAAAGGGCUGUUUCUUCCGGACAGGAUGGGAUGUCCUGUACUACUCAAGACGCUAGGCUCCGAGGACUCCAGACUCACCAGGAGAAAUGCCCAAAAUGUCAUGGAGCCAAAGCCCUGGGUAUUGAAUUUGCCUCAGAUGUGCUUCCCCUGCCAAGCCAACCAGAAGCACACAGGCCUGAUGAUGGCCUGAGGCCAAGCCCCUGGGCACCAGAAAGGCAGAAACUUUCUACAAGAGGAACUGCACUGACACCUGGAUAAAAUCCCCAUCUGAGAAGCUGGUUGUUAGGGCGGAUUUGAGUGCACAGAGAAGAAAGAAAGA